GCGACCGCAAAGAAGCAGCCGCUCUUUCAACACACACUCGAGGGAGGCCAGGAAGGUGCUAGCCAUGCUCAGUAGUGGUUUUAAAGCUGGGGGGGGGGUGGAAGGCUUUGUAAAGGACAGACUGGAAGCGCCUGGCCAAUCAGUACGAGUUCUGGCCCCCAGUGUGAGCACCAGUCAGAUCCAGCCUCCCCCCUGGGGGAAUCGAUAGAGCUGCUGCGGUAACCCAGACUGAGCUGUGGAUUGGAUCUCACUACGGUUUCCUGUCAUUUUACAGAAAUCAGGGUGAGCCUACAGAAAAGCAGAAGAUCGCGGAUUGUCAGAAGUCCCAGUAACGUAUGCACCUGUUGGACAAUCAGAAGGGCUACAUCAUUCCUAUGGACCCCAAGUCAGAAUUCAAAUUAUAUUCUACUAAUAUACUUUUUUCCUUUAAACAAUGUAUACACCUAUGUACUAAUAAUAUGUCAUGUGCUAACCUGACACUAUAGGCAGAGACAUUACAUAAUCUUUGACUAUUGGCUACUCUGCUUAUCUUGUCUUGCUGCUAGACCUAUCCAGGGGCUCGGGACCACCAACUCCGUCACUUACCUCCGCUCAUGAAAAAUCCAUACAAUCCAUUGUAAUCAGUUG